CGCAGCCGCGGUAAUUCCAGCUCCAAUAGCGUAUAUUAAAGUUGCUGCAGUUAAAAAGCUCGUAGUUGAAUUUCGGAACCAAUAUGUUGGUUGUGCCUCGGUACGUACUGGCAUUGUUGGUUUCUCUCUUCUGACGAACUAUGAUGUCAUUAAUUUGGUGUCAUGGGGAAUCAGGACUGUUACUUUGAAAAAUUAGAGUGUUUAAAGCAGGCUCACGCUUGAAUACAUUAGCAUGGAAUAAUGAAAUAGGACGUUUGAUUCUAUUUUGUUGGUUUCUAGGAUUGACGUAAUGAUUAAUAGGGAUAGUUGGGGGCAUUAGUAUUCAAUUGUCAGAGGUGAAAUUCUUGGAUUUAUUGAAGACUAACUACUGCGAAAGCAUUUGCCAAGGAUGUUUUCAUUAAUC
rnacentral:rRNA from 1 species